GAUGAACGCUGGCGGCGUGCCUAAUACAUGCAAGUCGAGCGAACAGACGAGGAGCUUGCUCCUCUGACGUUAGCGGCGGACGGGUGAGUAACACGUGGAUAACCUACCUAUAAGACUGGGAUAACUUCGGGAAACCGGAGCUAAUACCGGAUAAUAUAUUGAACCGCAUGGUUCAAUAGUGAAAGACGGUUUUGCUGUCACUUAUAGAUGGAUCCGCGCCGCAUUAGCUAGUUGGUAAGGUAACGGCUUACCAAGGCAACGAUGCGUAGCCGACCUGAGAGGAUGGUCGGCCACACUGGAACUGAGACACGGUCCAGACUCCUACGGGAGGCAGCAGUAGGGAAUCUUCCGCAAUGGGCGAAAGCCUGACGGAGCAACGCCGCGUGAGUGAUGAAGGUCUUCGGAUCGUAAAACUCUGUUAUUAGGGAAGAACAAAUGUGUAAGUAACUAUGCACGUCUUGACGGUACCUAAUCAGAAAGCCACGGCUAACUACGUG
rnacentral:rRNA from 1 species